GACGAACGCUGGCGGCGUGCUUAACACAUGCAAGUCGAACGGAAAGGCCCUGCUUUUGUGGGGUGCUCGAGUGGCGAACGGGUGAGUAACACGUGAGUAACCUGCCCUUGACUUUGGGAUAACUUCAGGAAACUGGGGCUAAUACCGGAUAGGAGCUCCUGCUGCAUGGUGGGGGUUGGAAAGUUUCGGCGGUUGGGGAUGGACUCGCGGCUUAUCAGCUUGUUGGUGGGGUAGUGGCUUACCAAGGCUUUGACGGGUAGCCGGCCUGAGAGGGUGACCGGCGACAGGUGAAAGGGGACACGGUCCAGGCGACUAAGGGAGGCGGCAGUGGGGAAUUUGGGCAAAAGGGCGGAAGCCGGAACCAGCGAGGCCGCGUGAGUGAAGAAGGCCUUCGGUUGGGAAUGGUCGUGUGUGAGGGAAGAAAAGGUAGAGGCUAAUAUCCUUGGACAAUGACGGUACCUGAAGAAUAAGCACCGGCUAACUACGUG
rnacentral:rRNA from 1 species